GACGAACCGUGCGAACGUUAUUCGGAAUCAUUGGGCUUAAAGGGCGCGUAGGCGGGCGACCGCGUCGAGUGCUGAAAUCCCCCCGGCUCAACCGGGGAACGGGCCUCGAAACGGGUCGCCUCGAGGCGAGGAGAGGGACCCGGAACGGUCCCGGGUAGGAGCGGUGGAAAUGACGUUGAGAUCGGACGGAACGCCGACGGCGAAAGCAAGGUCCUGGACUCGUACUGACGCUGAGGCGCGAAAGCCAGGGGGAGCGAACGGG
rnacentral:rRNA from 1 species